UCAACCAACCUCCCACAUUCCCCUCACUCUCCAUUUCUCACUCCAAAGCAGCCGAUUCAAUUCCAAAAACCUAGUUCCCUAAAAUUCUCUACACAUUCAACCUUAGUCUUCUUGUUAGCACUACAUUCCCUCACUAUCAAAUUUUCACCCAGGUGAUUCCUUGUCCACGGCAACGGAGGCGUCGGGAAAAUUUAACCUGGCCUGGAUAAUCAAAGCGACGGCGGCGGCGGCAGUAGACGCGACCCAAAUUGGAAGUUUACAGUCAGUUCUAACAGAUGAAAAAAGAGAAGAACGUGGUCAAAAGAGGACGACCCUGCAAGCCCAAUUUUAACACCGAAGAUGAGACAGCUUCUCUGAAAUGCUGUUGAAAUGCGGUCAGCCAAAACUAGGAGCCAUUAUCAAACGAUGUGCAGUUAAUAUCAAUUUGUGGAAAUGCCUUGGAGAACCAAUUAUAACCAAAUAGAUGACAACAUUCACUUGAUGAGGCACAUGGAGACAUUCUUUGGAGCAAAGGAGAAGGAAUGACGCUGUGACCUGACAACAAAUGGCACCAAAAGUCUAGAAACAAUGAGAAUGAAGGUGAAUAGCACCUUGAUUCUGUCCGAGCACAAUGCCUGGGCGAAGGUUAGCCAAAAUUUAGCAACAGCACACGGGAAAGCCAAGAAGAUCAAAGGCAGCUUCGAAAAUUGACUCGCGUAUUAUGGGCAGUAAUGUGUUUUAUGGCCAGAGAUUUGGAUUGUGAAUCACAAUUUUAUUUUUUAAAGUCUGUUUUUGGUACUAAGGUUAAUGACUUGGAUCUAGCUAAUAUAAUUAUUGUUUUAUCA